rnacentral:lncRNA from 1 species
GUUUGUUUCUCUUGCACUGCUUUUAGGGCUUUCAGCCAAACUCUUGGAACACGUUGGGGUUAGUAGCCCAUAGCAGUACGACUGCUGUUCCAAGCUGCUGAGGUAGCACUCUGCCCUGUUACCUUUUAACGCACUUAGGUUUUGUAUAUACAGAAUCACGCAGUACUAAGGCUUUGCUUUGAACUGGCAGCUGUGAAGUUAGCAGCAACCAUGCCAGGACAGCAGCACAGAGCCUGGCUGACCAGCAUGGUACUGGGGCCCUGGGCAUCCCCAAGUGAAGGAGUGCCCAGCUUCGGUGUUUAUGCCCUGUGUGAUUAAGAGUGAUAAUUUAGUAAUCCUCUUAAGAGCAAAUGUCUCUUAAAGGCUUGCUGUAAGUUCCCGGUCUCACUGGUUGUCUGCAGCUGUUAUUCUAGCAUUGGUGCUUGUUGCACUUGAUAGAGCUAUGUGUAGGCUGAUGUCUUACUAAGAUGGUGGAAGCUUGAACCAUUCGCCUAUAUAAUGAAAAAGCAAAUGCUUUUCCAGAAAUUAGUGGCUGUUAAGCAGAGGGGAGGUAUCUCCUCAGCUGACAUUGUUGUAGCUGUUGCAGACCUGGUUGUCUAUAGAACCUGGAACAGGCAAUUAUGUAAUCUGAAUGUGUUUCCUUUUACACCUCUUCCUGCCCCUCUGCUCUGCAGUGCUGAAGCCUCACCUGCAGUACUGUGUCCAGAUGUGGAGUCCUCAGUACAGGAGAGACAUAGACCUGUUGGAGCAUGUCCAGAGGAGGGCCACAAAAAUGAUCCAAGGGAUGGAACACCUCUCCUAUGAGGACAGACUGAAAGAGCUGGAGCUGUUCAGCCUGGAGAACAGAAGGCUCUGAACUGCGCUAACAAUAAGACGCAUUGGCUCGGAAACCUUUCCUGUCAGAAUCGAUUGUUGCAUUGAUUCCUCAGAUGGGGCACCGAAAGCUCAGAAUAUGAUUUUUAAUGAAGAGCUGCAUGUUGGCAUCACUCCUGGAAGAUCAACUCUUAUAUCUCGCAGUUACAGCGCUCUUAUCAGUAACUUUAUAACCCACCUCUUAAAGAACUGUGUAAUUUAAGUUGAUAUGGAUAUCUGAAAGCUCUCUUUAUUGCCCACAGCUCCUCCUGUAGUUUCAGUUUCACGACUAAAGAGUACAAACACUAACUGCACCUCUGUUUUUACUGCCCUGCUUUAUCAGGCAAACUGCAACUUUACACCUUGUUAAGGAAGCAAAGUGAGAAGAAAACCACAUUAUACUGUUAACAAGGUAGAUAACGCUAUUAUUUACC